AUGGCGUGUCCACCGCACGCGAUCGUCAUCCCCUACCCGGCACAGGGCCACGUCAUCCCGCUCAUGGAGGUCGCGCACGCGCUGGCCGACAGGGGCUUCAACGUCACCUUCGUCAACACCGAGUUCAACCACGCCCGUGUCGUCGCCUCCAUGUCGAACGGCGCCGGCAGCGGCCUGGGCCGGAUCCGGCUCGUGGCGGUGCCGGAUGGCAUGGCCCCCGGGGAGGACCGGAACCAGCUGGUGAAGUUGACCAUACUCAUGGCGGAGUUCAUGGCGCCGCGGGUGGAGGAGCUCAUUCUCCGGAGCGGCGAGGCGGCGGUGCUGGACGGCGCGUGCCCGGGCAAGAUCACCUGCAUGGUCACGGACUACAACGUCGGGUAUUGGGCGGUGGACAUUGCUCGGAGGACCGGGAUCCGGGUGGGGGCCGUUUGGCCGGCGUCAGCCGCCGUCAUGGUCACCUUGCUGAGCUUUCCUAAGCUGAUUGAGGACAACAUCAUCGAUGCGGAAGAUGGGUCUACAGUGGGUGAAGGAACAUUCCAGCUGAGCCCCGACAUGCCUCUCAUGCACAGCGCCCACCUCGCAUGGAACUGCAUCGGCGACCACGACCAGCAGGCGACCCUCUACCGGCUCCUUUGUGACGGCGUCCGCGCAAUGGAGCAGUGCGACUUCGUCAUCUGCAACUCCUUCCAGGACGCGGAGCCGGCAUCUUUCAAACUCUUCCCCAACGUCCUCCCCGUUGGCCCGCUCCUCACCGGCGAGCGCAGCGGCAAGGCCGUCGGCCACUUCUGGCAGCCGGAGGACGACGAGUGCAUGUCCUGGCUCGACGCGCAGCCAGAGAGAUCCGUAGUGUACGUGGCCUUCGGCAGCUUCACCAUGUUUAACCGGCGCCAGUUCGAGGAGCUCGCGUUGGGGCUGGAGCUCUCCGGCAGGCCAUUCCUGUGGGGCAAGCUCGUCUCCUGGUCGCCGCAGCAGCGCGUGCUGGCGCACCCCGCGGUGGCGUGCUUCGUGUCGCACUGCGGGUGGAACUCCACCAUGGAGGGCGUUCGGAACGGCGUGCCGUUCCUCGCCUGGCCCUACUUCGCCGACCAGUUCGUUAACCAGGUGUACAUCUCCGAUGUGUGGAAGGUCGGCCUCAAGGCCGUCGCCAACGAGUCGGGAGUCAUAACCAAGGAGCACAUCGCCGGCAGGGUGGAGGAGCUGAUGGGGGACCCCGGCAUGAGGGAGAGGGUGGAGGCCAUGAAGAAGGGCGCACACGAGAGCAUUCAGGAAGGUGGCUCCUCACAUGGAAACUUCGAUGCUUUUGCGGAGGCCAUGAAGAAUGCAGCGCCUGAGAGUGUUCAGGACGGGGGCUCCUCACAUGGAAACUUCCACUCUCUUGCGGAGGGUAUGAAGGCAUGA
rnacentral:rRNA from 1 species